CGGGAGCCAGGGCCAACCCGAGCCGCAGCCGCCGCGCAGGCAGGGCCGGGCCGGGCGCGCGGGCACAAAGGGACCGCUGCACAUGGCAGGCAGGCGAGCAGAUGCCAGCAGACAGCUUUUACCACUGUGGACCACAAGUAACUGAAACUAUGGGAAGCAAAACCAUGGAUAAGAGGGGAUGACUGUAAUAGGACUUCCAGUUCCACCAAGAUGAAAUGACUCCUUUUCUCCAGAGGCAGAGCAGGAAAGUAGAGCACAGAGCUGCCUGCUGAUGAAGAGGCGGCAGGAAAAUCUCAGCGCCUGAACCUCUGGUUCCUCAUGGUGUCCACGGGACCUAGUCGGUGAAGCUGUUCGUUAUUUUCCCCAAUUGUUCAUGUUUUCCUGGU
rnacentral:lncRNA from 13 species